rnacentral:rRNA from 1 species
GACGAACGCUGGCGGCGUGCUUAACACAUGCAAGUCGAACGGUGAAGCUCCAGCUUGCUGGAGUGGAUCAGUGGCGAACGGGUGAGUAACACGUGAGCAACCUGCCCCUGACUCUGGAAUAAGCGCUGGAAACGGCGUCUAAUACUGGAUACGAGAAGGGUCCGCAUGGGCACUUUCUGGAAAGUUUUUCGGUCGGGGAUGGGCUCGCGGCCUAUCAGCUUGUUGGUGAGGUAAUGGCUCACCAAGGCGACGACGGGUAGCCGGCCUGAGAGGGCGACCGGCCACACUGGGACUGAGACACGGCCCAGACUCCUACGGGAGGCAGCAGUGGGGAAUAUUGCACAAUGGGCGAAAGCCUGAUGCAGCGACGCCGCGUGAGGGAUGACGGCCUUCGGGUUGUAAACCUCUUUCAGCAGGGAAGAAGCGAAAGUGACGGUACCUGCAGAAGAAGCACCGGCUAACUACGUG